CGAUGGUAGUGGGUUAUCAGAACUUAUUAACGCUAGGAUCACUAAAGGUGGUACUCCACGCCCCCCCCCCAACUGCUGAAUUU
rnacentral:sRNA from 1 species